rnacentral:rRNA from 2 species
AGUGUCCGAGUUGUAAUUUGAAGAAGGUAACUUUGGAGUUGGCCCUUGUCUAUGUUCCUUGGAACAGGACGUCACAGAGGGUGAGAAUCCCGUGCGAUGAGGUGUCCAAUUCUAUGUAAAGUGCUUUCGAAGAGUCGAGUUGUUUGGGAAUGCAGCUCUAAGUGGGUGGUAAAUUCCAUCUAAAGCUAAAUAUUGGCGAGAGACCGAUAGCGAACAAGUACAGUGAUGGAAAGAUGAAAAGAACUUUGAAAAGAGAGUGAAAAAGUACGUGAAAUUGUUGAAAGGGAAGGGCUUGAGAUCAGACUCGGUAUUUUGCAAGCCUAUCCUUCGUGGAGAGGUUUAUUAGCAGCUUACCGGGCCAGCAUCGGUUUGGAUGGUAGGAUAAUGGCAUUGGAAUGUGGCUCCUCGGAGUGUUAUAGCCUUUGUUGAUACUGCCUAUCUAGACCGAGGACUGCGUCUUUGACUAGGAUGCUG